GAGCCAGUGUGUUGUAGUGGCUUGAACAUUGGUCUAUGACUCUGGAGAUCAGGGUUCAAUUCCCUGCUGAUCCA